GCUUAAAGCAUCCGUAGCUGGCUAAGUUAGUCCUUUGUUAAAUCCACCGAAUUAAUCGUUGGAUUGCGGGGGAUACUGCUUGGCUAGGGGACGAGAGAGGCAGACGGUAUUUCCGGGGUAGGGGUGAAAUCCUAUAAUCCCGGGAAGACCACCAGUGGCGAAGGCUGUCUGCUAGAACGCGCCCGACGGUGAGGGAUGAAAGCUGGGGGAGCGAACCGGAUUAGAUACCCGGGUAGUCCCAGCUGUAAACGAUGCAGGCUAGGUGUUUGGACGGCCACGUGCCGUUCUAGUGCCGCAGGGAAGCUGUUAAGCCUGCCGCCUGGGGAGUACGAUCGCAAGAUUGAAACUUAAAGGAAUUGGCGGGGGAGCACCACAAGGGGUGAAGCUUGCGGUUUAAUUGGAGUCAACGCCGGAAAUCUCACCGGGAGCGACAGCAGUGUGAAGGCCAGAUUAAAGGUCUUGCCAGACGAGCUGAGAGGAGGUGCAUGGCCGUCGCCAGUUCGUGCCGUGAGGUGUCCUGUUAAGUCAGGCAACGAUCGAGACCCGCAUCCUCUGUUGCAACUAGCCUUGUGCUGGGCACACUGAGGAGACCGCCACUGAUAAAGUGGAGGAAGGAGCGGGCCACGGCAGGUCAGUAUGCCCCGAAUCUCCCGGGCCACACGCGAGCUGCAAUGGCAGGUACAAUGGGUUCCGACCUCGAAAGGGGAAGGCAAUCUCGAAAGCCUGCCGUAGUUGGGAUUGAGGGUUGUAACCCACCCUCAUGAACAUGGAAUCCCUAGUAAUCGCGUGUCA
rnacentral:rRNA from 1 species